AUAUUUCUGUGGAUUCUUAUAUGCCUAUUGUCCUAAGGUUCAAAUGUUCAAAGGAUAUAUAAUUAAUAACAUAAUGAAGUAUGACAGGUUAUAUAGACAAGUGUGCCUGAAUACCAAACAGGAGUUUCAGUUGUAUAUUUGAAAAAUAAAAAUGGGCUUGAGAGAUGCAUCUGUGAGUAAAGUCACGUGUUGUCAGGUUGGAUCCCUGAGACUCACAGCAGGUUUACCUCUGACCUCCAUAAGCAUAGCAUGGUAUGCAUACAGAAACACACACACACACACACACACACACACACACACACACACACUCACACACACACACACACACUCACUCACUCACUCACUCACACUCAUCUCUCACCUCCUACAGAUACAAAUACAUAAGUAUAAACAUUAAAUAAUAAUGAAAAAAGUAAUAAAUAACAUCAAUUAAGUCACUAAGCUCUAUUGAGUGAUUACUGGCCAGUUUAAGUUUAAGUUUUAUUUAUUUAAGAGCUCACAUUGGCAUUUAGUUUUGAGUGUAUAGAUGUGUAGAUGUUCAUGUAUCCAUGCACACAUUCAUAUGGAUGCCGUAUGGUUGACGUUGUGUAUCUUUGUCACUCUCUCUACCUUAUAUUUGGGAUAAGAUCUCUCCUUGAGCCUGAAGGUCAUUGACUCUGCUAGGUUGGCUGGCCAGAACACCCCAGGAAUGGUCCCACCUUUGUUCCUCCCGUGCUAGGAUAGGGAUGGAGCUCCUAUUUUCAUGCUUACACUGCAAGUAGUUUAUCAGCUGGGCUGCCUCUCCAGUGUUCCAAAUGUAAUUUGUUAAGGUGUUAUGUAACUCUAUCAUUUUUUGAGAAUUAUCUCUUGGUUUGAGGAUUAAUCAGGUAUGUCUGAAAAUUAACUGAAUUUUGAGUAUACUUUCAACUUCCAGCUCUAAAUUAAUGGUACUUCAUUGGUCCUAUCAUGAUUGAAUGAUUCUAAUGUUUUCAAAGAAUGUUAGUGUGUAAAUGUAUCUUUUAAAGGACAUAAAAUUAAGGUUGAUUCUGCAAAUUUAUUCACUCAUUAAUGAAAUGUCUUGUUUUGCUUCCUGUAAAUUGAGCUAUUCUGGCAGUCAGUAUUGAACAACAUACCAAACCAGAGGAAAUGCCUAUUUGAACGUGUAUCUCAAGGAUAUCACAAUAAUUUUGCUAGCCUACACAUAAAAAUAUAACUUACUUUGCAGAGUCGAAUGCCUUAAAAUACCAAAUUUUGAGCUUGCUUGACAUCUGCUUGUUUUAUGUUCUUAAGGAAUUUAAAAGAUUUAGUAUCAUUUUAUUUAUUAUAUGCAAAAAUAUAUUUGUAGAAGUUCUAUACUUGAUACUCUAUAUACAUUUUAUAGAGGUAUGAACACACAGGAAGAGGCUAAGUUCUUGUAAACCUUUAAUAUUAUCCAAUAAAACAAAAUUUUAUAAGUUGGUUGCUAAUAUUUCGAUAUUUCAAAGCACGUGGCUGUAAAGCAGAUUUGGGCAUUAGUUUUAUAGCUGUCAGUGUAUCAUAAACCUCUCGCUCUCAGGUUUUACAUUUUACUGAAUUUUUACUGUGUUUAUUCACUUGCGAAGAGUCCAUUAAAUGUAUUUUGAUGUCAUAUGAAUAAUACACAAGUAGGAAUCAAUGGCAGCUAAAGAUACCCUUUUGAUUGUGGAGGAAAUCAGUUCUGAUUGGCUGAAAGAGAAAAGGAUAUAAUAUUAACAAAUGAGACAAAGAAUUAUCAUUUUUUUUAGAUUUUAGAAGAUUUCCAGGUUAACCGUGUACAGAUCACAGGGUGAUACUUUUUAAAUGAAAGUUAUCUAGACAGAACCAGCAUUCCCACACCUGUCUCUUACAAAACUAAUAAUGGUUAACUCAUAAAAGUGCACAGAAUCUUUUGCAGGACCUUGAACUUAAAGGGUGAAGCCAUUGUCCACUGUCUUCAGAACAUGAAAAUAAUAAGUACUAGAUAAGGGGAAAAGCACAUCAUAGUUAAAAGCCUUUUCUUAGUCUUGGUGAAGAGCAUCUACUGCUCUUGUGAAGAACCUGGGCUUGGUUGAUGUCCACUGUCUCACAACCAUCAGUUACUCCAGGUUUUUUUUUUGGGGGGGGGGAUACAAGUCCCUCUUUUGGUUGGCAAUUAAUGAGCUAAUUAACUAACAAGUCUUCACUUAUUUAGCUCAAGUCAGGGUGGUUUGUGGAAUGGAUGGCCCAAGAAAUUGAAGGGCAAGAGAGAGUAGUAUGCACACACCUGGUACUCAUUCACACAGGUAGGCAAACACUCAAUGUGGUGGUGGAGGGUGGGGGAGUGUAUAAACUGUUCAAGCUAGUUGACACUGAGAAACCGUUGAAUUUGGAUUUCAGGGAAUCUUGAGGAACCCAUUAAUGUAAAGCUGCGGCCAGAGUUCCAUGAGGAGGCAGAAUGUUCUAGAUGAUCCCUGUCUCUUCUCCAUUGAGGAAGUCGUUUCUUGCCUCUCUGUAAGCUCAGUUAAUGUAAGUAGAUUCUGGUUGUAACAGG
ensembl:processed_transcript